ACUGCUCAGUAACACGUAGGUAACCUACCCUUCGGACGGGCACAACCCCGGGAAACUGGGGCUAAUUCCCGAUAGGUACCCCCUUCUGGAAUGUGGGGAUAUCCAAAGCUCCGGCGCCGAAGGAUGGGCCUGCGGCCGAUUAGGUUGUUGGCGGGGUAACAGCCCACCAAGCCGACGAUCGGUACGGGCAGUGAGAGCUGUAGCCCGGAGAUGGGGACUGAGACAAGGCCCCAGGCCCUACGGGGCGCAGCAGGCGCGAAACCUUCACAAUGCACGAAAGUGUGAUGAGGGUACUCCGAGUGCGCAUACAUUGUAUGUGCUUUUCUGCAGCGUAAAUAGUUGCAGGAAUAAGGGCUGGGCAAGACCGGUGCCAGCCGCCGCGGUAACACCGGCAGCCCUAGUGGUGGCCGCUUUUAUUGGGCCUAAAGCGUCCGUAGCCGGACAGGCGAGUCUUUGGGUAAAUCCUACGUCUUAAGCGUGGGAAUUCUAAAGAUACUACCUGUCUUGAGGCCGGGAGAGGCUGGAGGUACUCCUGGGGUAGGGGUAAAAUCCUAUAAUCCUGGGGGGACCACCGAUGGCGAAGGCAUCCAGCUGGAACGGGCCUGACGGUGAGGGACGAAACCCAGGGGAGCGAGCCGGAUUAGAUACCCGGGUAGUCCUGGGCGUAAAUGAUGUGGGCUUGGUGUGAGCGCAUCGACGAGGUGCGCUUGUGCCGUAGGGAAGCCGUUAAGCCCACCGCCUGGGGAGUACGGUCGCAAGGCUGAAACUUAAAGGAAUUGGCGGGGGAG
rnacentral:rRNA from 1 species